rnacentral:lncRNA from 1 species
AACCUUUGUCAGAUAACCAGUGUAUUCUAUGGAAUCUUUCAGGGCCAGGAAGUCAUUAUGACUCCAUCCACUCUGUUGGUGUGAUUCACUUAGUGCUUAGACUGCAACCUUGUUCUACUUCUUGAAGGUCAUUGCUUUAUCAUCACCUGUUACCCCUAGAGAGAGAACCCAAGCUGGCUCCCGUGAUCACUGCGCUCUUUUCAAACGUUCUCAAGCCAUUUGUUAUGCUUGAGACCCGAUGUGAAUGUUUUAAACACAGUAAUUUAAGCACCAUCUUAAGAAGGAAGAUAGUGGAAUAACCAACAGUGUAGCUAAGAUCAAAGGAGCAGAAGUUCAUAAGAAGAAGAGCACGGUGAAUGGCAAAGAGCAAGUUAAGAAUCAGCGACAAAUGCUGGCCACGAUGCCGUGAGCAGUGAGAAUAACAGGAGUCAUUCAGUACUUCUGAGUCACAUGUUUUCAUCUCUAAAAUGGAAAUUACAAUGUGUGAAGGAUUCAACAAGUUCUACACAUACAUAAGCAUUUGGCACAAUUUCUAGCACAAUCGUAAUACAGAACUAGAACAUAGCAAAUCUUCAAUAAAUGCUAGUCAUCAUCUUCUACGAUAUGGGGUCAUUUCUAAAAAAAU